rnacentral:rRNA from 1 species
GAAAUGCGAUAAGUAAUGUGAAUUGCAGAAUUCAGUGAAUCAUSGAAUCUUUGAACGCAUCUUGCGCUCCUUGGUACUCCUAGGAGCAUGCCUGUUUGAGUGUCAUUAAAUUAUCAAAGCUGCUACAAUGCUGAAUUGGAGUGGAUUUGGAAUGUGGGAGRUGCAGGCUUUCAUGUCAGCUCUCCUGAAAUGUAUUAGCUGAGAGCCCUAUAAGUGCGGUUCAUUGGUGUGAUAAGACUUGUCAUCACCAGAGAAAAARWCGUCNCAUUUGAAUGUGGCAGGUAGGCUAUGUAUGGAAGGAGAUUGAUCAAGUUGACCUCAAGUCAGGUAGGAUUACCCGCUGAACUUAA